GCCCAGACCUGGGGUGGGGGCGGGCAGCUCUCCUGCAGGUUUUAGUUACUUUGGAUGUCAGGACUAGGGUGGGCCUUGGGCUCCCCAUGACUUUGAGGGGUAUCUUUCUUGCUGUUGCUUCCUGGCUUGAUACAAAUGCCAGCAGAGGCUUACUUUUGCUUUCUGCUGUCUUUCUGAAGCUCUUAAUGAGUCCAAUGUGCUAUUUGCCAGUGGGUUCACUUUGCUGUCUUCUCCUUUAACCAGGCAGCGUGACAUGUGAUUCUCAAACAGACCCUUCCAGUCAUUUAUUUCUGAAUCCCCUUAAGGGAGUGUUGGAGGAGCAGAGACCUGGCCUUGAUGUCACAUUUCACUGGAAAAAGCAAUAUGCCCCUAGACUGGAUGCUGCUGCUUUAAACGGAGUUGAUUCCAGUUCCUUUGAUUUGGAGAAUGACACCCCACCCCCACCUCAUCCCACCUUCCUCUUCACAACUGCUGAAACCUGGAGUUCAGCCAGAGCCAGAGAUGGAAAUGGGUCUGUGCUGGACAGGACAGAGGUCAGCAGAACCUUUUGACCACUCCAGCUUAAAAACUCUUGGACCAGACUUGCUUUCACACGAACCUUGUUAGAUUUAUCAUCUGCUGAUUCCUUGCACCAGAUGCAGAUGUGCUAUAUGUCUACCGUCUCCCUAACCAUCAACAAACCAAGUGGUUUUUACUCUUUGAAAAACAAAGAUUCGAACCAGCAUCAAAAGGAUCUAGGGAUUGAAAGGAGAAAACCAAUUUAGCCACAGCUCAAGCUAGCAAAGUGCUCCCGACCUGGGCAAAUGGGAAAAGAUCGUGGAGUCAAGGUAACGAGCAAUUAUCAAGUGCCUAUGGUAUACCAAGUACUGGGGACAGGAAAAAAGACAAAAGAGAGGCCAUGACUUCAAGGAGCUCCCAGUUUAAUGGGGAAAAAAUAUGUAAAUAACUAUGUCAAGCCAUUAUACAGACAAGAGAGAUUAGAGAUAGUCACUGAGAGAAGACACUGACAUGAAUGGAAAUGGAGUGUCACUGCAUUGGUGAGUAAGGAAAAGUAGGAGAGCUCCAGAUUGCCAAGGGUGUGAAAACACCAGAAGGUUUUAUUUGUGAUCCUUGAGAUGAUAGGAAGCACUGAUGUUUAUUGAAUUGGGUGAAUGACAUGGUCACACUUUAGAAAGAUAAAUUUGGCAGCUCAGUAGAAGAUGGAUUGAAGUAGGGAAUUUAUAUAUGAGAGAAAUUGUACAGAUAAACUUGCCAGGCCUUAGCAGCUGAUGGUGGGAUAAGAGAGAAUGCAAAGGCAAGGAGAACACCUGGACUGGGAACUUGGGCAAUGGUGCACUUGACAGUAAUAGAGAAGUGAAUUAGGGAGAGAAUUUGGGGAGAAAGUGAAUUCUGUUUUGGACACAUUGAGUUGAAGAGGUCUACGGGAUAGCCAGUUCAAGAUGUCCAAUAGACAGUUAGAAAUGGGAGAUAGGAG
rnacentral:lncRNA from 1 species